rnacentral:lncRNA from 10 species
UCUAUCUCCCUGGGCUCAGGUGAUCCUCCAUGUGCAGCUUCCAAGCAGCUGGGACUCCAAGCACAAACCUUUUUUUUUCUUUUUGUAGAGAUAGGGUUUCACCAUGUUGCCCAAGCUGCUCUUGAACUCCUGAGGCUCAAGUGAUCCAUUAGCCUCAGCUUGCCAAAGGCUUGGGAUUACAGGCAUGAGCCACUAUACUUGGCCCUGAAAAUAUGCUUACUCUACUGAAUUCACAAUUUAAAUAAUUUAUAAAAUUAUAUAUCAUAAAUCAUUGGAAAACAUUCCUACAUUAUCCUUCAGCAUGGCUAAUAAGAAACAUGAUGCCAUUCUCAUCGCUGUUCCUUUGAAUGUGACCUGCUUUUUCUAUGUUUUAGGAUCCUCUAUUAACACAUUGAUCAGAAACUGCAUGAUAAUAUGUCUGAAUGAACAUUUUCAUCCAUUACAUUGUAUACUCAGUGGGCCUUUCAUUUUGGAAAUCUAGGCCAUUCAGAUCUGAGAUGACUUCUUGAAUUUUUCCUUUGAUGAUUGCUUUCUCUCCAUUUCUCUAUGUUCCAUAUCAUUAUAACGCUUCUUUUUUUUUUUGAGACAGAGCCUCACUCUGUCACCCAGGCUGGAGUGUACUGACGCAAUCUCGGCUCACUGUGACCUCCGCCUCGGGGGUUCAAGCAAUCCUCCUUCCUCAGCUUCCCG